ACUAAGUGUAGUAAUAGGUUCCAUAUCUAACGUCUGACCGUCCAUUUUAUUUGAUUUUUUAUAAUUAAUAUUUUUUUAUUGUUAUUAGAUAAUAAAACAUGAAUAGUACUAAUUAUUUUUUUAAUUUUUUUAAAUAAGAUGAACGGUUAAACGUUAAACACAGAAAUCUAUAAAUGCAUUUUAA
rfam:Oryza nivara chromosome 2, whole genome shotgun sequence.